rnacentral:rRNA from 1 species
UACGUAGGGUGCAAGCGUUGUCCGGAAUUAUUGGGCGUAAAGGGUGCGUAGGUGGCGGGGUAAGUCAGGUGUGAAAUCUCGAGGCUCAACCUCGAAACUGCACUUGAUACUGCCUUGCUCGAGUACUGGAGAGGAGAUUGGAAUUUACGGUGUAGCAGUGAAAUGCGUAGAUAUCGUAAGGAAGACCAGUGGCGAAGGCGAAUCUCUGGACAGUUACUGACACUGAGGCACGAAGGCCAGGGGAGCAAACGGG